UACAGGGGGUGCAAACGUUGCUCGGAAUUAUUGGGCGUAAAGCGCACGUAGGCGGUUGCUUAAGUCGGAUGUGAAAGCCCUUGGCUCAACCAAGGAAGUGCAUCCGAAACUGAGCAGCUGGAGUACGAAAGAGGGUCGCGGAAUUCCCGGUGUAGAGGUGAAAUUCGUAGAUAUCGGGAGGAACACCGAUGGCGAAGGCGGGUCUCUGGGCAGUAACUGACGCUGAGGAGCGAAAGCGUGGGGAGCGAACAGG
rnacentral:rRNA from 1 species